UAGUCCACGCCCUAAACGAUGUUAACUCGAUGUUUGUAUUUAUAUGAGCAUCCAAGGGAAACCGUUAAGUUAACCACCUGGGAAGUACGUUCGCAAGAAUGAAACUCAAAGGAAUUGACGGGGGUCCGCACAAGCGGUGAGCAUGUGGUUUAAUUCGAAGCAACGCGAAGAACCUUACCAGGACUUGACAUGGAGUCGCCGCUACGAGAGAUCGUAGUUCUUACUUCGGUAAGCGGCUCACACAGGUGCUGCAUGGCUGUCGUCAGCUCGUGUCGUGAGAUGUUGGGUUAAGUCCCGCAACGAGCGCAACCCUCGUUCUUAGUUGUCAUCAUUAAGUUGGACCCUCUAGGAAGACUGCCGCGGACAACGCGGAGGAAGGUGGGGACGACGUCAAGUCAUCAUGGCCCUUACGUCCUGGGCUACACACGUGCUACAAUGGCUGGUACAAUGGGUCGCCAAACCGCGAGGUGGAGCUAAUCCCCAAAGCCAGUCUCAGUUCGGAUUGUAGUCUGCAACUCG
rnacentral:rRNA from 1 species